GAUGAACGCUGGCGGCGUGCCUAAUACAUGCAAGUCGAGCGAACAGACGAGGAGCUUGCUCCUCUGACGUUAGCGGCGGACGUGUGAGUAACACGUGGAUAACCUACCUAUAAGACUGGGAUAACUUCGGGAAACCGGAGCUAAUACCGGAUAAUAUAUUGAACCGCAUGGUUCAAUAGUGAAAGACGGUUUUGCUGUCACUUAUAGAUGGAUCCGCGCCGCAUUAGCUAGUUGGUAAGGUAACGGCUUACCAAGGCAACGAUGCGUAGCCGACCUGAGAGGGUGAUCGGCCACACUGGAACUGAGACACGGUCCAGACUCCUACGGGAGGCAGCAGUAGGGAAUCUUCCGCAAUGGGCGAAAGCAUGACGGAGCAACGCCGCGUGAGUGAUGAAGGUCUUCGGAUCGUAAAACUCUGUUAUUAGGGAAGAACAAAUGUGUAAGUAACUAUGCACGUCUUGACGGUACCUAAUCAGAAAGCCACGGCUAACUACGUG
rnacentral:rRNA from 1 species